rnacentral:miRNA from 1 species
UAGGUAUUUUAAGGAGCACGUU